rnacentral:rRNA from 1 species
AUUGAACGCUGGCGGCAGGCCUAACACAUGCGAGUCGAGCGGGGUUUUCGGACCUAGCGGCGGACGGGUGAGUAAUGCGUAGGAAGCUGCCCGAUAGAGGGGGAUACCAGUUGGAAACGACUGUUAAUACCGCAUAAUGUCUACGGACCAAAGUGUGGGACCUUCGGGCCACAUGCUAUCGGAUGCGCCUACGUGGGAUUAGCUAGUUGGUGAGGUAAUGGCUCACCAAGGCGACGAUCUCUAGCUGGUUUGAGAGGAUGAUCAGCCACACUGGAACUGGGACACGGUCCAGACUCCUACGGGAGGCAGUAGUGGGGAAUAUUGGACAAUGGGCGCAAGCCUGAUCCAGCCAUGCCGCGUGUGGGAAGAAGGCCUUCGGGUUGUAAAGCACUUUCAGCGAGGAGGAAGGGUGGUGUGUUAAUAGCACAUCAUUUUGACGUUACUCGCAGAAGAAGCACCGGCUAACUCUGUGCCAGCCGCCGCCGUAAAAC